rnacentral:rRNA from 1 species
AUUGAACGCUGGCGGCAGGCCUAACACAUGCAAGUCGAGCGGAUGAAGGGAGCUUGCUCCUGGAUUCAGCGGCGGACGGGUGAGUAAUGCCUAGGAAUCUGCCUGGUAGUGGGGGAUAGCGUCCGGAAACGGGCGCUAAUACCGCAUACGUCCUGAGGGAGAAAGUGGGGGAUCUUCGGACCUCACGCUAUCAGAUGAGCCUAGGUCGGAUUAGCUAGUUGGUGGGGUAAAGGCCUACCAAGGCGACGAUCCGUAACUGGUCUGAGAGGAUGAUCAGUCACACUGGAACUGAGACACGGUCCAGACGCCUACGGGAGGCAGCAGUGGGGAAUAUUGGACAAUGGGCGAAAGCCUGAUCCAGCCAUGCCGCGUGUGUGAAGAAGGUCUUCGGAUUGUAAAGCACUUUAAGUUGGGAGGAAGGGCAGUAAGUUAAUACCUUGCUGUUUUGACGUUACCAACAGAAUAAGCACCGGCUAACUUCGU